rnacentral:rRNA from 1 species
UUAAGUUAUUAAGGGCGCACGGUGGAUGCCUUGGCACUAGAAGCCGAUGAAGGACGUUACUAACGACGAUAUGCUUUGGGGAGCUGUAAGUAAGCUUUGAUCCAGAGAUUUCCGAAUGGGGAAACCCAGCAUGAGUUAUGUCAUGUUAUCGAUAUGUGAAUACAUAGCAUAUCAGAAGGCACACCCGGAGAACUGAAACAUCUUAGUACCCGGAGGAAGAGAAAGAAAAUUCGAUUCCCUUAGUAGCGGCGAGCGAAACGGGAAGAGCCCAAACCAACAAGCUUGCUUGUUGGGGUUGUAGGACACUCUAUACGGAGUUACAAAGGACGACAUUAGACGAAUCAUCUGGAAAGAUGAAUCAAAGAAGGUAAUAAUCCUGUAGUCGAAAAUGUUGUCUCUCUUGAGUGGAUCCUGAGUACGACGGAGCACGUGAAAUUCCGUCGGAAUCUGGGAGGACCAUCUCCUAAGGCUAAAUACUCUCUAGUGACCGAUAGUGAACCAGUACCGUGAGGGAAAGGUGAAAAGCACCCCGGAAGGGGAGUGAAAUAGAACCUGAAACCGUGUGCUUACAAGUAGUCAGAGCCCGUUAAUGGGUGAUGGCGUGCCUUUUGUAGAAUGAACCGGCGAGUUACGAUUUGAUGCAAGGUUAAGCAGUAAAUGUGGAGCCGUAGCGAAAGCGAGUCUGAAUAGGGCGUUUAGUAUUUGGUCGUAGACCCGAAACCAGGUGAUCUACCCUUGGUCAGGUUGAAGUUCAGGUAACACUGAAUGGAGGACCGAACCGACUUACGUUGAAAAGUGAGCGGAUGAACUGAGGGUAGCGGAGAAAUUCCAAUCGAACCUGGAGAUAGCUGGUUCUCUCCGAAAUAGCUUUAGGGCUAGCCUCAAGUGAUGAUUAUUGGAGGUAGAGCACUGUUUGGACGAGGGGCCCCUCUCGGGUUACCGAAUUCAGACAAACUCCGAAUGCCAAUUAAUUUAACUUGGGAGUCAGAACAUGGGUGAUAAGGUCCGUGUUCGAAAGGGAAACAGCCCAGACCACCAGCUAAGGUCCCAAAAUAUAUGUUAAGUGGAAAAGGAUGUGGCGUUGCCCAGACAACUAGGAUGUUGGCUUAGAAGCAGCCAUCAUUUAAAGAGUGCGUAAUAGCUCACUAGUCGAGUGACACUGCGCCGAAAAUGUACCGGGGCUAAACAUAUUACCGAAGCUGUGGAUUGUCCUUUGGACAAUGGUAGGAGAGCGUUCUAAGGGCGUUGAAGCAUGAUCGUAAGGACAUGUGGAGCGCUUAGAAGUGAGAAUGCCGGUGUGAGUAGCGAAAGACGGGUGAGAAUCCCGUCCACCGAUUGACUAAGGUUUCCAGAGGAAGGCUCGUCCGCUCUGGGUUAGUCGGGUCCUAAGCUGAGGCCGACAGGCGUAGGCGAUGGAUAACAGGUUGAUAUUCCUGUACCACCUAUAAUCGUUUUAAUCGAUGGGGGGACGCAGUAGGAUAGGCGAAGCGUGCGAUUGGAUUGCACGUCUAAGCAGUAAGGCUGAGUAUUAGGCAAAUCCGGUACUCGUUAAGGCUGAGCUGUGAUGGGGAGAAGACAUUGAGUCUUCGAGUCGUUGAUUUCACACUGCCGAGAAAAGCCUCUAGAUAGAAAAUAGGUGCCCGUACCGCAAACCGACACAGGUAGUCAAGAUGAGAAUUCUAAGGUGAGCGAGCGAACUCUCGUUAAGGAACUCGGCAAAAUGACCCCGUAACUUCGGGAGAAGGGGUGCUCUUUAGGGUUAACGCCCAGAAGAGCCGCAGUGAAUAGGCCCAAGCGACUGUUUAUCAAAAACACAGGUCUCUGCUAAACCGUAAGGUGAUGUAUAGGGGCUGACGCCUGCCCGGUGCUGGAAGGUUAAGAGGAGUGGUUAGCUUCUGCGAAGCUACGAAUCGAAGCCCCAGUAAACGGCGGCCGUAACUAUAACGGUCCUAAGGUAGCGAAAUUCCUUGUCGGGUAAGUUCCGACCCGCACGAAAGGCGUAACGAUUUGGGCACUGUCUCAACGAGAGACUCGGUGAAAUCAUAGUACCUGUGAAGAUGCAGGUUACCCGCGACAGGACGGAAAGACCCCGUGGAGCUUUACUGUAGCCUGAUAUUGAAAUUCGGCACAGCUUGUACAGGAUAGGUAGGAGCCUUUGAAACGUGAGCGCUAGCUUACGUGGAGGCGCUGGUGGGAUACUACCCUAGCUGUGUUGGCUUUCUAACCCGCACCACUUAUCGUGGUGGGAGACAGUGUCAGGCGGGCAGUUUGACUGGGGCGGUCGCCUCCUAAAAGGUAACGGAGGCGCUCAAAGGUUCCCUCAGAAUGGUUGGAAAUCAUUCAUAGAGUGUAAAGGCAUAAGGGAGCUUGACUGCGAGACCUACAAGUCGAGCAGGGUCGAAAGACGGACUUAGUGAUCCGGUGGUUCCGCAUGGAAGGGCCAUCGCUCAACGGAUAAAAGCUACCCCGGGGAUAACAGGCUUAUCUCCCCCAAGAGUUCACAUCGACGGGGAGGUUUGGCACCUCGAUGUCGGCUCAUCGCAUCCUGGGGCUGUAGUCGGUCCCAAGGGUUGGGCUGUUCGCCCAUUAAAGCGGUACGCGAGCUGGGUUCAGAACGUCGUGAGACAGUUCGGUCCCUAUCCGUCGUGGGCGUAGGAAAUUUGAGAGGAGCUGUCCUUAGUACGAGAGGACCGGGAUGGACAUACCUCUGGUGUACCAGUUGUCGUGCCAACGGCAUAGCUGGGUAGCUAUGUGUGGACGGGAUAAGUGCUGAAAGCAUCUAAGCAUGAAGCCCCCCUCAAGAUGAGAUUUCCCAACUUCGGUUAUAAGAUCCCUCAAAGAUGAUGAGGUUAAUAGGUUCGAGGUGGAAGCAUGGUGACAUGUGGAGCUGACGAAUACUAAUCGAUCGAAGACUUAAUC